rnacentral:rRNA from 1 species
AGUUACGUACCUACAGAAGAAGCACCGGCUAACUCCGUGCCAGCAGCCGCGGUAAUACGGAGGGUGCGAGCGUUAAUCGGAAUUACUGGGCGUAAAGCGCAUGCAGGCGGCCUGUUAAGUCAGAUGUGAAAGCCCGGGGCUUAACCUCGGAAUUGCAUUUGAAACUGGCAGGCUAGAGUCUUGUAGAGGGGGGCGAGAAUUUCAGGUGUAGCGGUGAAAUGCGUAGAGAUCUGAAGGAAUACCAGUGGCGAAGGCGGCCCCCUGGACAAAGACUGACGCUCAGAUGCGAAAGCGUGGGGAGCAAACAGGAUUAGAUACCCUGGUAG